CCUCCUGUCCACUUUCUUAAAGAAUGUGGCAAAAACAAAACAAAACAAAACAAACCCCUUUCCCCAGUGCUAACAUUACUUCUACAAUGAGCUUAGAUGAGCAACUUUCCUGUAUUGGAAGGCCAUGUUGUAACCAAUCACAACUUCUGAAUUCCUGCAUGACAUCAUGAGCCCUGCCUCAAACUUUUGUUAUUUUUUCUCUCCACCUUCUUCAAUUGUUCCUACAAACUUGGUGACAGACUCAGACAAGUUGCCAGAGAAGUCCAGGCAAAGUUUCCCACAGCUCAGAACACAUUAUCCUAUAAUUCACUAAUAAUCAUCAGCAGAGGAGUUGUUUCCAGAAGGAAGCAGUAGUACUUCUCAUUUUGCCUGCAAGAGGCAUUUGUCUCGGGACAUUUAGGUGCUGAGUUCCCACUGUCAAACCGUGACCUUUUAGUUCUUCCUCACCUGAAUUUAUAGAGAGCAUCUCAUCUCAACUAGGAUUAAUGGGAUUUCAUGUAGGAAGACCAGAGGAACAACAAUUAAUCCAAAACCAGGUCAUUUCCAUUAUUCUGAUCAAACUUACGCAAGCUGGAUACAGUACAAGAAAAAAUAAUGCUUUUCUUUUAAAGGUGGCAAAAACUGAGGACAGGUAGAAAACUAAGAACAGGAUGAAAUACAUGCGAAUCCCAAUUUCUUACUACUGCAACUGAACCGGCAGAAGCUACAAUCAAGAAUUCAGCUGCAAGCACAAGAGGUCAGACUAGUGCAGAGUAUGGAUCUUGCUAACAACAGAGGCCUCAACUUGCUACUUAAUUUCCUGCUUAUUGUUAUGGUUCUGGUGCUCAUGUUUAUCCUUGUUAAACUCAUGUGAAUCUCCUUGAGGUUCUGUUUUUGCAAUGAUAACUUAACACUUCAAACUAUCUGAACAGAAGAUGUAAAGACUGCAUAAGUUAGAGAAGGGUCUAUAAACUGUAAGACUAUUACAUGCUCAUGUAUCUACUCUACAGCAAAAUAGCUUAAAAGCAAAACAAUCAACAUACUUGCCAAAGGCUAAGAAAAGUGUAUAGUUCCAUGCUAGCUACAAAAGGACACUGUAUCUAAGAAUACACAGUUCUCUUGCCACUGGUAUAAUAAACUGAUUACUUGUAUUUAAACAACUAAGAAUCAAAGGUGGCAGUCUCCUAGGAGUACAAGUUCUGCAAAGAGGAUAACAGAAAUAACAAAAGAUGAAAUCUUCAUAGAGAGGCCUCUCUGAAGAAAACUGAAACACAGGCCUGAAAAAGGACAAGAGAGACGCCUGAAGCUGAAUGAUGGCAAGUAUCAGAUUACAUACAGAAAAGAAAAACAAAAAUGCUGUUGUGGCUAUUCAAAAGCAAACCCCACCAGCUGGUUACAGGAUUUGUCAUGCAUGUUCAAAUAUAAAACAAUAUUAACCGCAGCUUUUUAAAAGGCGUACCAUCCACUGCAGCAUUUGAAAAAACAAAAACAAAAAACCAGCAAGCAGAUCUAUUAUGCAUCAGUAUUGAAAGAAUUUCACCAACCAUCAGCUGUUAAGCUUAAAAUUUUGAGCAACAACAAGGUAAUAUAAAAUAGAAAAAACACUAUCAAGUCUCCAUACUCUACUUCAGUCUCUCUGAAGUUUUCUGAAAGUUUCAUGCCAUAGUAGAUGGGACGGCCUGGAUACUUACAAUUAAAGCUUUUCACACUUGUCUACAAAUGACGUAUGUGCAAUAGAUAUUUAAACAGCCUUUCCAAAAAUCAAAAAAAGACAUCUAUAGCAACAAGCUGUAAAGUCAAUAGCUAUUCUAUGUUGAUACUCUAUUGUCAAUUUCUGUAUUGAUUGUCAAUAUAUGUUUCAAAGAGAAAAAGUUACCCAGCUACUUCAUUAUAAGCACUUUAUCACAUUUUGUUUGAUAUUUUGGAGGAUAUUCUGCUGUUAUAAAAUGUCUGUACAUUCAUAUACAAGAGAUCUAAAUUAUAGCAAUGGGCUCGUUUAAUGUUUCAAUUAACCCUUUUAGAGUCUCACUGUGCAGGCACAUUACGAUAACAUGAAGUAUACCAAAUCCAAACAAAAAGCCCACUGCAGUCAAAAGGAACCACCAUGCUAUAAUUUUCUAAUAACAUGCCUAUUCACAGGUAUGCUGCAUAGAUCGCUUUAGAAUGUACUGUGUAUAUAUAAACUACAGCUACCAAGACAGACAAUUUGGAGAGGAAAAAAAACAAAAACAAAAAACAGUGACUCUGUGGGUUGUAUUUAUAUUUCACUUUUUAUCCCAAAUCACUUUACAAACAAAGCAUACAAGAAUCUCACCAUCCUGCGCUAAUGUGUAGCUACCUCUGGGGAAGAAUGCAACAACCGUUUAUCAACUAAACAGUGACACUACACAAGUUUGAGACAGAUAGUAAAACAUACAUCUUUAAAAGACAGAAUAUAAAUGUAUAUGAGCUACUGGGAGUAACAUGUCUUCUGCAGCAAACAGAGGCAUCAUAUUUUUAAUAAUCAAAAAUGGUCAGGAUUGGAUUUGCACAUCAGCCAUCAGCACGUAUUCAAAACCAUUUAUUGUAUUAAGAUGAAUCCCUAGUUGUCAAAUCCCAAGACUACCUACUUCGCAAUGAACAGUAUAUAAAAAGCAACUUCAGUGAGGUACAACAAUGAAUGCUGAUUAAACUAAAAGAGACUGAACUUUUUAGUACGAGAAAUUCUCUCUGAAAAUACCAUUUAAUUAAAAUUGAAAAUUUUCUGUGGAGAAAUGUUGAAUUUGAGAAAAGACUUCAAUUUUUUGAACAGAUGGGACCACGGUAAAAAUAUUAUGAGUUGACAUUUCAAAAUGAAACUACUUUUCUCAUUUCAAAAUGUCCAUCGGAAGAGAGUGGUGGUGUCGUUUCAACAUGUCAGAUUGUUUUGCUCAUAAAUAUAGACAUUUAGUUGAAUACUUCCAAUUCACAAGUUGAAAUAUUUUGAUUUGCAAAAUGUUUUGAUAUUUUGACUUUCCAUUCUGAUUUGGAAUGCAAAUCAAUUCUGAAUUGUCUAAAUUUUCCAAAAGAUGAAAAUUCAUUUCCCAAACAGCUCUAAUAUUAACCUAUGCAUACUUUAAACAGAGAUAUGGGCUAAGCACCUCGUUAAUGGAAGACUGCAAACAGACAAAUUAAGGGGAAAGCCAGACUACUAAGUAACUUCCAUCCAGCACAGAUGUAGCCUCCCAGAUGAAUUACUAAACUCAAGUGUAAUUGCGGUAUGAAACAAAACAAAAAAAUAAACACAAAGAGAGCAUGAUACAAUGAGAGCGCUGGGGGUGGCUGUUGGGUGUGUGGUGAGGACAUAGGCCUGGCCUCAGCAUAGGGCCAGCUUCACUGCACACAGCUACCCUGAGGCCAGUCCCAGUUUACUCAAGGCAGUGAGACCCCGCCCAAGAAAUGGUGGGGGAGGGGGCUCCACUCAUCAUCCAAACCCAGCUGCUCAGAAUGGGGAGAAAGCCAGCAUGAGCCAGCACCCAACCCUGCCCCACAAAGUGCCUAGAGAACCAACCCCACCCCAGAGUUCCCUUUGGGCCUCUGUAGCUCUGACCUCGUCAUGCAGUGAUGUGGCCAGGAAUGGUAGCACCAUGAUGCAGGACUCAGCCUAUGGAGCUGCAUGUGGUUUCUUGUGCAAAGGAGCAAACAUGGCUCCUCCAGUUAUUCCUGCAGGAUGUUUCUGCAUCCUUGGUUUCAAGAUUUCUGUGGGUCCAACUCAACCCAUGAACCCUUGAUAAAGCCACCAUGGCUUCCACCUAUUAUAUCAAUACUAGAGUCAGAUGCAAGUCAGGGUAGUCUAAAGAAGCCUCUUCAAACCAAGUAUACAAACAUACUGUAUAUUAAAAGAGAAGGAAGGUAUAAUUCUUCCAAAGACACCUAGUACAUAGUACUAAUACACAGGUUUGCAACCUUCUGAAACAUUUCUUACUGUAUGGUCUCCUGCAGUUUUCAAGAGAAAGUAUUUUCAUUUUAAAUCUUAUUUCUAGUGCUGCUGUACAGCAUUCAGCUCUAUAUCAACAGUAUCAAGGUUUGAGAAACUACUAUUCACAAAUACUCGUGGUCAAACCUUUCACAGCUUUAUGGGGCAUAUUCUCCACUCCAAAUUUUAUGCCUGGUUUCCAAUUAAAUCAAUGGGAGCCUUGGUCGUGCAUCUGAGGCUAAAAUUUUGCCCUAACAAGUGCCUAAUCCUGCAGCACUUUCCAGGGGAAAAAGUUACCUAAAAAGUGGGAUUUCUGUGUGCUGGAACAUUAGGCAUAAGUAGAGAAUAACGAAGCGUAAUGCCUGAUGGCAGGAGAAUAGUGUGUGGAUCUUUCUAGUUCACUAAGAAAACAACCUUAUGUUUAAAAAAAUAUCUGCUUCUUGAAGGUCUGUUUACACCUUAGAUUAAAGGAUUUGAUGACAGCCAUGCCCUCAAAACAGCACAUGUUGGUGAACGCAACCUCAAGAACACUCCCAUGAUGUUACAGAAUAUCAGAGAAACGCUUAGAAACUAGUAACCUCCCCUGAAAUUUGUUUCACAACACAACACAUGUGUAGAUAUUAUAGCUUCAGGUGAAUAUCUUGUAAUCUCUUCAAAGCAAUAUGCAUCUCCUUUGAAGAAGAUAUAAUCUGUUGAUCCACUUCACUCUUUUUCUAUUUUAUUUUUUUACAGUUUCAAUAUAAAGAUGCUUUCCACAUAGCCUGAAAUUGAGUACAGAAUGCGUUUAAUCGGCCAACUUUUCUGCACAUACUUUCUGAUGUAAUGUUCAGGGCAAGUUAUCAUUGUUCUAUCUACAUUCUUAGUCAAAGAUAAAUUUGGUUAUAAUUUUGUGUAUUCUUUAGUGUAGAAACAGCAUAUGUGGGUUCUCUCUGCCUGUUCUGAAAAUCACUGCAUUUCAAUCAGUACACAUACUUUCAAGCAGAUGGCACAUUUCUUAUUCCACUGUUAAAAGAUUGUCACCAUCAGCAAAAAUGAUCUCUAAUGUCAUGAAAUGAAAUUCCUUACUCUGAAAAGGAAAAUAAAGUUUAUCAUCCUGUUAUUGUAUUGUACACAGUAUCACUGCUUUACUAUUUUUUUAAAUAAAAGUAACUUUAUAAGAUUUUUAAUUUUUCAGAAAUGGUAGCAAAUCAAUUUCAGGAGAUUCUGCUGUUUGGACAGUAUUCAAUAUGUAAAAAGCAUUACGAAUAAAUAAAUU